rnacentral:rRNA from 1 species
GAAUAUAUAGGGUGUGUGGAGGGAACGCGGGGAAGUGAAACAUCUCAGUACCCGUAGGAAGAGAAAAUAAGAAUGAUUCCGGGAGUAGUGGCGAGCGAAACUGGAUGAGCCUAAACCGUGUGCGUGUCAAGCGUGCUGGGGUUGCGUACAUGGUGUUGUGGGGUGUGUGUGUUCGGUUCAGCAUGACCGAGACGCUGAUGAGUGCUUACGUGUAGUCGAAGCUGGUGGGAAACAGUACCGGAGUGGGUGAGAGUCCCGUAGACGAAACGCGUGGCCCCGGUGUGACACGUGUCCCCGAGUAGCACGGAACUCGUGGAAUUCCGUGUGAAUCUGCCAGGACCACCUGGGAAGGCUAAAUACUUCCUGAUGACCGAUAGCGGAUCAGUACCGUGAGGGAAUGGUGAAAAGUACCCCGGGAGGGGAGUGAAAGAGUACCUGAAACCAUGUGCUUACAAUCCGUCAGAGCACCCGUGUUGGUGUGAUGGCGUGCCUUUUGAAGAAUGAGCCUGCGAGUUAGCGGUGCGUGGCGAGGUUAACCCGUGUGGGGUAGCCGUAGCGAAAGCGAGUCCGA